UACGUAGGGUGCGAGCGUUGUCCGGAAUUAUUGGGCGUAAAGAGCUCGUAGGCGGUGUGUCGCGUCGGCCGUGAAAACCUGGGGCUCAACUCUGGGCGUGCGGUCGAUACGGGCAUCACUGGAGUUCGGCAGGGGAGACUGGAAUUUCUGGUGUAGCGGUGAAAUGCGCAGAUAUCAGGAGGAACACCGGUGGCGAAGGCGGGUCUCUGGGCCGAUACUGACGCUGAGGAGCGAAAGCAUGGGUAGCGAACAGG
rnacentral:rRNA from 1 species